AGCGAGUGUGCGGCCGAGACAGACGCUCUGAGCUCCUCCUCAAAGUUUCGGGCAUGUUGCGCCGAGGUGUACGUUGGGUCUGAUAUGUGAUGAGAAAGCACCGAAUCAGAAAGUCGUCUGUGCUUGUUACCAUUACGACUGUAAUCUCCGGUGCUGUUUUACCUUGGUGGAUGCAGAGGUCAUCGUUUUGGGGAAGAGUCCUGGUACUUUGUUGAGCUCUGCCAUCAGUUUAGCGAGCUGAAACAAAACAUGGGCUCUCUUGGUCAUGAAGUUCUCCUCGUCCUCAUCGGAGUCCAGCACUUGAGGUCGAGGGAGGGGUUCGGAUGCGGGCCUUUUAGCGCCCGCCUUCCGGGUUGGGAAGGCAAAGGCCACCUUCAAGAGGUUGGACCGACGGCCACGUCCCGCAGGCUCAGAAUUGGGAUCUACUUUCUGGAAAGAUUGUUUUUUUUAAUUUUAUUACAUUUCUCCUAAAAUGAUGAAA